rnacentral:lncRNA from 1 species
ACAUUAAUUAUACUAUUUAUGUUAUUAGUAACUAGUUUUGUUUGCUGUAUUCCUCCAUGGAAAAUAAUAUCGCAAUACAUGUAUGGGGACACGGAAUUCGAGCCGGAAGUCGAGUGUUAUUCUACACCUCUUCUCCAAAAAAUAAUCGGAAGGAAUUCAAUCGCUGUGACACUCUAGAUAGAUACACCAACGAUAGAUUUGUUUAUCGUACCACCCGGCUCGAGAACCUUGUCCUCCACCAUAAUAAAAAUAAAGAAUCAAAUGACACGCAGGUGUCGCAACAAGGUCGAUGAGAGAAUUGCAGCUUGGAGUCUAAGACGAGCGAAACAUUGUUUUCUCCCGGGAAAAGAACCGAUUUUUGAAAUGAGUAGAAUGAUCGGGUUAAGAAUCUGCCUCGAAACGUGAGCCGAAUCUGUCAGUCGGUGCAAAAACUUCGAGAGAACAAGAUAUAGAAAAGUAAGUCGGUUGCCAAGUCUCGAGAGAAUAAGCCACAGAAAACGAUGAUUGGAUUUUCGUCCACAGAGAAGAACAGUUAGUUUUCCAACAUAAAAAAAUAAGACAUCAGUCGUUAUUUGUGCACCUCCACAACUGGGAAAGAAAAUAGGUUCCGCAACCUUCUACACUGAGAAUAAAAACGAAACCAAGAUCGCCGCAUAUUUGAGAAGAUAGGAAGCACGUGAGAAGAAGAAGCUGAAAUUUACAUCUAUUUUCUAACCAUAUCUAUCGAGGUAUUUAUCCUCCGACGAUGGUUAUUGGGUUUUGAAUCUGUGAGAUAUUCUCUCUCGCCAAUAAAGGGAAUUGUUUGUUACUAAGAGUAUUCUCUGCGUCGUUCUGUCUUAAGGUAUCAUUACCCGUCCGACUCAAUCCGCAGACUGUAAGUAGGCCAUAAGCCUCUUCGAAUCUUCAUCGGGUCUCGCACAUGCGCAAUAUAAUUUAACAUUUUAAAAAUAUUAAAAAAAAAAGAAAAUUUCAUAAUGUACUAUUAACAAUUUCUAAUAUAUUUGGAUUUGCUCGAUCUUCUGCUGCCGGGGCUGAAUUGGGGCGUUUUUCGUGUUUUGCAAGUUGCUG